rnacentral:rRNA from 1 species
UACGUAGGGGCAAGCGUUGUCCGGAAUUACUGGGCGUAAAGCGCACGCAGGCUGACUUAUAAGUCGGUAGUCUAAUGCGGAGGCUCAACUUCCGUUUAUCUAUCGAUACUGUAAGACUAGAGUAUGUGAGAGGGAAGUGGAAUUCCCGGUGUAGCGGUGAAAUGCGUAGAUAUCGGGAGGAACUCCGGUGGCGAAGGCGACUUCCUGGCACAAGACUGACGCUCAUGUGCGAAAGCUAGGGUAGCGAACAGGAUUAGAUACACG